rnacentral:rRNA from 1 species
GAUGAACGCUAGCGGCAGGCUUAAUACAUGCAAGUCGAGGGGCAGCAGGACUGUAGCAAUACAGUUGCUGGCGACCGGCAAACGGGUGCGGAACAUGUACGCAACGUACCCUUAACUGGGGGAUAGCUCGGGGAAACCCGGAUUAAUACCCCGUAACAUAAUUGAAUGGCAUCAUUGAAUUAUUAUAGCUUCGGAGGUUUAGGGUGGGCGUGCGCCUGAUUAGGUAGUUGGCGGGGUAACGGCCAACCAAGCCUACGAUCAGUAACUGGUGUGAGAGCACGACCAGUCACACGGGCACUGAGACACGGGCCCGACUCCUACGGGAGGCAGCAGUAAGGAAUAUUGGUCAAUGGACGCAAGUCUGAACCAGCCAUGCCGCGUGAAGGAUGAAGGUCCUCUGGAUUGUAAACUUCUUUUAUAUGGGAAGAAAUCCCGGAAUUCUUUCUGGGUUGACGGUACCAUAGGAAUAAGCACCGGCUAACUCCGUGCCAGCCGCCGCUGUAAUAC